rnacentral:rRNA from 1 species
UACGGGGGGGGCAAGCGUUGUUCGGAAUUACUGGGUCGUAAAGGGCUCGUAGGCGCCAACUAAGUCGGAUGUGAAAAUCCCCAGCUCAACCUGGGAACUGCAUCCGAUACUGGAUGGCUUGAAUCCGGGAGAGGGAUGCAGAAUUCCAGGUGUAGCGGUGAAAUGCGAUAGAUAUCGGAAGGAACAUCAGUGGCGAAAAGCGGCUUCCUGGACCAGUACCGACGUUCAGGCACGAAAGCGUGGG